rnacentral:rRNA from 2 species
CCGCGAAUGGNUCAUUAAAUCAGUUAUGGUUCCUUANAUCGUNCCUUACUACUUGGAUAACUGUGGUAAUUCUAGAGCUAAUACAUGCAGCAGAGCUCCGACCUUCGGGGACGAGCGCUUUUAUUAGACCAAGACCAAUCGGACUUCGGUCCGAAGCUCAUGGUGACUCUGGAUAACUUUGGGCUGAUCGCACGGUCUNGUACCGGCGACGCAUCUUUCAAGUGUCUGCCUUAUCAACUUUCGAUGGUAGGUUAUGCGCCUACCAUGGUCGUAACGGGUAACGGGGAAUCAGGGUUCGAUUCCGGAGAGGGAGCCUGAGAAACGGCUACCACAUCCAAGGAAGGCAGCAGGCGCGCAAAUUACCCACUCCCGGCACGGGGAGGUAGUGACGAAAAAUAACAAUACGGGACUCUAUUGAGGCCCCGUAAUUGGAAUGAGUACACUCUAAAUCCUUUAACGAGGAUCUAUUGGAGGGCAAGUNUGGUGCCAGCAGCCGCGGUAAUUCCAGCUCCAAUAGCGUAUAUUAAAGUUGUUGCGGUUAAAAAGCUCGUAGUUGGAUCUCAGUUCCAGACGGGUGGUCCACCCCUGGUGGUUACUGCCUGGCCUGAACAAAUCCAGCCGGUUUUCCUUGAUGCUCUUCACCGAGUGUNUUGGGUGACCGGCACGUUUACUUUGAAAAAAUUAGAGUGCUCAAAGCAGGCGUGACGCCUGAAUAAUGGUGCAUGGAAUAGUGGAAUAGGACCUCGGUUCUAUUUUGUUGGUUCUCGGANCACGANGUAAUGAUAAAGAGGGACAGACGGGGGCAUUCNUNNUGCGACGCUAGAGGUGAAAUUCUUGGNCCGUCNCAAGACGAACUNCU